rnacentral:rRNA from 1 species
AGAGUUUGAUCCUGGCUCAGGACGAACGCUGGCGGCGUGCCUAAUACAUGCAAGUCGAGCGAGCUUGCCUAGAUGAUUUUAGUGCUUGCACUAAAUGAAACUAGAUACAAGCGAGCGGCGGACGGGUGAGUAACACGUGGGUAACCUGCCCAAGAGACUGGGAUAACACCUGGAAACAGAUGCUAAUACCGGAUAACAACACUAGACGCAUGUCUAGAGUUUGAAAGAUGGUUCUGCUAUCACUCUUUGAUGGACCUGCGGUGCAUUAGCUAGUUGGUAAGGUAACGGCUUACCAAGGCAAUGAUGCAUAGCCGAGUUGAGAGACUGAUCGGCCACAUUGGGACUGAGACACGGCCCAAACUCCUACGGGAGGCAGCAGUAGGGAAUCUUCCACAAUGGACGAAAGUCUGAUGGAGCAACGCCGCGUGAGUGAAGAAGGGUUUCGGCUCGUAAAGCUCUGUUGGUAGUGAAGAAAGAUAGAGGUAGUAACUGGCCUUUAUUUGACGGUAAUUACUUAGAAAGUCACGGCUAACUACGUGCCAGCAGCCGCGGUAAUACGUAGGUGGCAAGCGUUGUCCGGAUUUAUUGGGCGUAAAGCGAGUGCAGGCGGUUCAAUAAGUCUGAUGUGAAAGCCUUCGGCUCAACCGGAGAAUUGCAUCAGAAACUGUUGAACUUGAGUGCAGAAGAGGAGAGUGGAACUCCAUGUGUAGCGGUGGAAUGCGUAGAUAUAUGGAAGAACACCAGUGGCGAAGGCGGCUCUCUGGUCUGCAACUGACGCUGAGGCUCGAAAGCAUGGGUAGCGAACAGGAUUAGAUACCCUGGUAGUCCAUGCCGUAAACGAUGAGUGCUAAGGUGUUGGGAGGUUUCCGCCUCUCAGUGCUGCAGCUAACGCAUUGAGCACUCCGCCUGGGGAGUACGACCGCAAGGUUGAAACUCAAAGGAAUUGACGGGGGCCCGCACAAGCGGUGGAGCAUGUGGUUUAAUUCGAAGCAACGCGAAGAACCUUACCAGGUCUUGACAUCCAGUGCAAACCUAAGAGAUUAGGUGUUCCCUUCGGGGACGCUGAGACAGGUGGUGCAUGGCUGUCGUCAGCUCGUGUCGUGAGAUGUUGGGUUAAGUCCCGCAACGAGCGCAACCCUUGUCAUUAGUUGCCAUCAUUAAGUUGGGCACUCUAAUGAGACUGCCGGUGACAAACCGGAGGAAGGUGGGGAUGACGUCAAGUCAUCAUGCCCCUUAUGACCUGGGCUACACACGUGCUACAAUGGACGGUACAACGAGAAGCGAACCUGCGAAGGCAAGCGGAUCUCUUAAAGCUGUUCUCAGUUCGGACUGUAAGCUGCAACUCGCCUACACGAAGCUGGAAUCGCUAGUAAUCGCGGAUCAGCACGCCGCGGUGAAUACGUUCCCGGGCCUUGUACUCACCGCCCGUCA